rnacentral:rRNA from 1 species
UGAGGGAAUAUUUGGGGUCAAUGGGCGAGAGCCUGAACCAGCCAAGUAGCGUGCAGGACGACGGCCCUAUGGGUUGUAAACUGCUUUUAUAAGGGAAUAAAGUGGGUCACGUGUGACUUUUUGCAUGUACCUUAUGAAUAAGGACCGGCUAAUUCCGUGCCAGCAGCCGCGGUAAUACGGAAGGUCCGGGCGUUAUCCGGAUUUAUUGGGUUUAAAGGGUGCGCAGGCGGCGCGCCAAGUCAGCGGUCAAAGUUCCGGGCUCAACCCGGUGUCGCCGUUGAAACUGGCGUGCUCGAGUGCGUGCGAGGAAGGCGGAAUGCGUUGUGUAGCGGUGAAAUGCAUAGAUAUGACGCAGAACUCCGAUUGCGAAGGCAGCUUUCCAGCGCGCUACUGACGCUGAGGCACGAAAGCGUGGGGGAUCGAACA